ACGUAGGGUGCGAGCGUUAAUCGGAAUUACUGGGCGUAAAGCGUGCGCAGGCGGUUCGCUAAGACAGGUGUGAAAUCCCCGGGCUUAACCUGGGAAUUGCGCUUGUGACUGGCGGGCUAGAGUAUUGUAGAGGGGGGUGGAAUUCCACGUGUAGCGGUGAAAUGCGUAGAGAUGUGGAGGAAUACCGAUGGCGAAGGCAGCCCCCUGGACAAAUACUGACGCUCAGGCACGAAAGCGUGGGGAGCAAACAG
rnacentral:rRNA from 1 species